AUUGAACGCUGGCGGCAGGCCUAACACAUGCAAGUCGAGCGAGGGGCGGACGGGUGAGUAAUAGCUGGACAUUGCCCCGUCGAGGGGGAAAAGAGUUGGAAACGACUGCUAAUUCCGCAUACGGUUGUAUUGCCCAGGUGGGGUUAGCUAGUUGGUGAGGUAAUGGCUCACCAAGGCGACGACCCCUAGCUGGUCUGAGAGGAUGAUCAGCCACACUGGAACUGAGACACGGUCCAGACUCCUACGGGAGGCAGCAGUGGGGAAUCUUGCACAAUGGGGGAAACCCUGAUGCAGCCAUGCCGCGUGUGUGAAGAAGGCCUUCGGGUUGUAAAGCACUGUCAGCGUGGAGGCGUUACUCGCAGAAGAAGCACCGGCUAACUCCGUGCCAGCAGCCGCGGUAAUUC
rnacentral:rRNA from 1 species